AAACUGGAGAGUUUGAUCCUGGCUCAGAACGAACGCUGGCGGCGUGCCUAACACAUGCAAGUCGUACGAGAAAGGGUCUUCGGACCUGAGUAAAGUGGCGAACGGGUGAGUAACGCGUGGAUAAUCUGCCCUUAAGUUGGGGAUAACCCAUCGAAAGGUGGGCUAAUACCGAAUAAUGCUCCUGGACUCCGGUCCAGUAGCCAAAGAUGGCCUCUGCAUGCAAGCUGUCGCUUGAGGAUGAGUCCGCGUACCAUUAGCUAGUUGGUAGGGUAAUGGCCUACCAAGGCGAUGAUGGUUAGCUGGUCUGAGAGGAUGAUCAGCCACACUGGAACUGAGACACGGUCCAGACUCCUACGGGAGGCAGCAGUGAGGAAUCUUGCGCAAUGGGGGAAACCCUGACGCAGCAACGCCGC
rnacentral:rRNA from 1 species